GAAUUUUAUAUUAUUUUAUUAAAUUAAUUUUAUUAAGUAAGAUAAAUAGUAGAAUAAUAUUUAGUUGGGAGGAUUGUUAAAUAUGAUUAACUUUAAUUAGGUUUAAAAUAUAAAUUAAUAAAAUAAAGAAUGGUUAUUAAAUUAAAAAAGAAUUAAUUACCUUAGGGAUAACAGCGUAGUACUUUUAGAGAGUUCAUAUUAAUAUAAGUGAUUGC
rnacentral:rRNA from 1 species